GGGAGAGUGCCUCAUCUCUUCCAUUUUCCAGGUAUUCCCGAGAUGAUUUAUCGGAGCUCAAAGCUUUGGG
rfam:Gorilla gorilla gorilla genomic chromosome, chr3, whole genome shotgun sequence